CCAAACGAGCAUCCCACUAACUAUCAACAAGCGGUUGCUCCCAUUACCCUAUUCUGACCCUUUACGCUCUCUACACCGCCUUACAGCUCCCAUUUACCCUAUCAACCGCCUUGCUCUUUGUAACAACAAUCGUCUGCUUCGAAUCCCAUCGGCCAAUACACUCUCAAUCUACUUUGUCUGCAAUGGCGUCGAAGUCGUCGCAGUCUACUGAUUCAUUGUCUGACGUCGGGGGGAAGGCGCCGUCACGGCCGGUUGCCGGCGGCCCUGCCCGUAGAUUCAUUGUGAAUUCGCGGUGUUUCGUCGGAGCGUACAGGAAGACUUACACGUCGGUCGUGAAGCCCUAUCAUUUUCUCGUCAUCCAGAUUAUGAUAUUCGGUAAUAUCUUACACUUCUCUG
rnacentral:lncRNA from 1 species